rnacentral:lncRNA from 1 species
GGUUGAUAUUAUCACUUGCUGGAUAUAUAUUAUAAGUAUCUGAAACUAAUCAAAUGUUCGUAUUUAUUUUUUGAUGCAGUUAAACCUCAGUCGUAAAUGCAUCAGCUAUUUGUCAAACCAAUUAAACUCUAUUUAUGCAAUGUGGUAUUUCAACUGAGGUUAGAAAUAGAUGCAAUAAAUCCAAUCAUUUUGACAUUUCCACCUAAUUAACAUUGAAAGGUUUGCAUACAUAUGAAACAUUUGAAGAAAUUCCACAGCAUAGUGUUAGCGUCCUUCAAGAGGGAACGACAAAUCAGUUUUUAAUUAAUGUAAACUCAGUAAAAGUGAUACUAUCUGAAGUGUUACUACAUUUAUCUGAUAAAACA